CGAUAGUAGCUCAGUGGUAGAGCGCCACAAACAAACGUGGAGGGCGUUGGUUCGAAUCCAACCUUUAU
rnacentral:tRNA from 1 species